rnacentral:lncRNA from 1 species
UUGUGGAAAGGAUGGAUGGAUGGGUGGAUGGAUGGAUGGAUGGAUGGAUGGAUGGAUGGAUAGAAAUGCAACUUCAAGAUCUGGUUCUACAGUAUUACAUAUGAAGCAACUGAGACUCAGAUAAAAUUCAGUGAGUUGCUGAAGACUAUUCACUCAUUGAGCCUCACAUUCUGAUGCUAUAUAUAUCAGGUGCUAUGCAGAUGAUUAGGGAAGGGCAGGACUGAGAUUAAACUGACACCCCCUACAUCCUAAUCCAGGCUUUUUCCACUGUAUGGCGAUGCCUCCCAAAAGAAUUAUCACAGCGACUUAAUAAAGGAGGGAGAAAGUUAGCUGCAAAUUUCAAGCUUAGAAAUUCACAGGCAAAAAUGGCUGAAGGGAAAUAAUCACACUAAUAGUGAUGCAAGGAUGUAACUGGAAAGGAAAAAAUGGAGAGAAAUUAAAAACACAAACAGAUUUAGUCAGGGUCCUGAUAAAGUGAUAAUGUAAUCAAUAAGGCAAAUCAAAGAUAAAUGAUUAGAGAUUUAAAACCUCAGCCUAUCAGAAAAACCUGAGGGAAAAGAUUUUGAAUUUUUUUUAUUUCUUCCAAAAGAUCCUAUUUGACAUUUUUUUUUAAAUCUAAAUGACCAAAGAUUUCGAAUUUGGAAAGGCAGACACAUAUCUAUUUCCCAUAUAAACAUCUACAUUUCUUGCCACAUAGCACCGCAACACUCAUCUGGUUCCAAAGCAGACGGCUUGGCCCUCUGUUAUCAAGAGCACUAUCACCGUUCUGGCCCGGAGAGCUAAGUUUUCUUAUACAUAGGUCGUAGCCAAAGCUCAGAGGAAAGAAGUGACAUUUGGUGAGUGUACAGGAUAUGUUCUCCAGCCACUUUUUAGGUGCUAAGUUACAUCUUGAAAUAAUGUCAGAAAUUGGAAGAUGCCGUAUUUAAACUUCACUAGCCCAAGCCCUAAUUCACCUCGACAGUUUAAUAUCUUAAUGUUUCUUAAAAUUUGAGGACUCUUAGAAUGACCCCUUUAAAAAUCUGCUGAAAAACUGGAUCUUUUUGUGGGAAAAACUGUCCAUACCUACAUAUCUAAAAUGUGUAUGUGGUUUCAGUCUCUCCUGUGCACAGUCCCUCCUGCUUUGAAGGGAUCCCCAACAUGUUUUUUUCCUAGAGGUAGUUGGUCACAACCAUCGGAUAACAUGCUUAUCACCUGGGUGAUAAAAUAUUCUGGACACCAAACCCCGAUGACAUGCAAUUUACCUAUAUAAAGAACCUGCACAUGUAUUCCUGAACCUAAAAUAAAAAGUUGUAAAAAAUAAUAAUACAAGUAAAAGAGCUUUCUGCAUGUGUUAUAAAUCUGUUCAGGAGGACUUUCCACUAUGCUUUCAAGAGAAGUGUCUUGAAGAAUUUAGCAUCACUCUGAAUUCCCAAAAAGCUCUGUGCUUUUCAAGGUGCUUUUGAGGAAGAAGGAUGAUGCUUCAACUGUCUUCUUUGCUGUGACUUCUAGGAAGUUCAUUAUCACAUCAUAUUCUCAACCAAAUAAUUAACACUUGACAUUGGCAUUUUCUUCUGUCUUUGUUUUUAAAUUUUAUUGUUGUUUGCUAAUUUUAUUGUUUUUAUCUUUGUUGUAUGUAUUGUCCCGGCUCUCCAUUUCCUCCCUCUCCCUGCCAAUAAAAGAGACCCAUAGAUUUUAUUCUUUUGUUCUACUUUUUCAUCAGUUUCUUCUACAUAUAUCUGACAUAUAUGGAAAAAAGAAUUACUGCCUAUAUAUGCAGAACUUGUAACUCACAGGAUUUCUAAACUAAAAGACUUUUCUUAAUAGGUGUGAAGUGAAAUUCUGCAAGUAGCUGCAUCUGGGAACUUCAGAGUUAAACCGAUAUCUCAGUAUAAUCUGUCACUGCUAUAGUUUCUUUUCUUUGACCUCCAAACCUUAUGUUGAAAUUUGACCCCCAAUGUUGAAGGUAGAGCCUAAUGGGAGGUGUCUGGGUCUGGGGGCAGAUCCCUCAAGAAUAGCUUGGUCAUCAAUGAGUGAGUUCUCACUCUAUUAGUUUCUGGGAGAGCUGGUUGUUAAAAAGAGUGUGUCAUGUCCCUUCUCUCUCUUUUUGCUUCCUCUCUCACCAGUGAUCUGCCUAGGCCAGCUCCCCUUCAUCUUCUGCCAUGAGUGGAAGCAGCCUGAGGCCCUCACCAGAAGCAGAUGUUGGCACUAUGCUUCUUAGACAGCCUGCAAAACUGUGAGCCAAAGAAUUCCCUUUUCUUUAUAAAUGACCCAGCCUCAGGUAUUCCUCUAUAGCAACGCAGAUGGACUAAGACACUCAUGCUUCCUUUCAUUAGCUAUUUCAAGCUCAAAAAUUGUGAGACUGUGCCAAGAAUUAGGGCAGGAUCUUGUCAUUGCGAACUUACAACUUUUCUAUCUAAAGCAAAAGGUCCUAAUCCCAAACCAUAAUUGGAAAGGUGCCUCUACUCCAACCUCAUUGCCCUUCAACUGCCCCUUCUCUGCCUCCCAUUCCCCUCUUACUCACCGAAAGACAAAUGAGUUUAGGCUGGGCACAGUUAGCCAUCGUUCUCAGAAAAACAAAAUCUUGCUGCUUGGUAUUCUCACUUAGAAUCCCUUCACUUAGCUUAUGGAUCACCCUACACAGAUUCCUGACAGCUCACUGGGCCAGGGAACCAGCCAGAUUUUUGAGCUACAUCUGCAGUAUCUUUUCUACUCAGGCAGCUGGCAUAAGGUGGGAAAAUUCAUUAACAUGCUAAUGAUGUCCUAUUUAAAAUUCUAGUCCUGAUUAUUCUGUGAUUAAAUCUCUCCCCUUGACGUCGGUUUCCUUUAUAGCUGAGUUACAGUGCGAAAUCAACAAUAUUAAUAAAGUACAAUACAGAUUACCAAUUUAUACACAAGGGAUGGUGAAAAACUGCUGCGUAAAUCUGAGGGCUGUCCUUUUAACUUGAAAAGCAGUUGUAGGCCGGGCGCGGUGGCUCACGCUUGUAAUUCCAGCACUUUGGGAGGCCUAAGCAGGUGGAUCACCUGAGGUCAGGAGUUUGAGACCAGCCUGGCCAACAUGGUGAAACCCCGUCACUACUAAAAAAAUAUAAAAAUUAGCUGGCCUAUAAUCCCAGCUACCUGGGAGGCUGAGGCAGGAGAAUCGCUUGAACCUGGGAGACGGAGGUUGCAGUGAGCAGAGAUCGCACCAUUACACUCCAGCCUGGGUGACAAGAGCAAAACUCUGUCUCAAAAAAAAAAAAAAAAGCAGAUGUAGCAAACUGUAAAAGUUGCUGAUUUUUUUCAUUCCACCCUUCUUUAAAUAAACACACACAUUGGAAUCCACAAUAAUUAAAUGUUUAUAGUUAAUUUCCAUAAAUAUUCAAGGCUUGGAAGAUAGAUUUAGCUUUUCCUUCUAUUUCACUGCACUUAACAUUGCUCCGAAUUCAAAUGUGUUAUCCUGAAGUCUCAAGAACAGCUGACAGGAGUUAAAGCACACUUCUUUAUCAUCUCUUUAUAGAGAUUGUGUCUUGGCAACAAAAGCCAAUGGAUUCGGUGAUGAGGUCUGUCUCCCUUUGCCCUUGAGUACCUUGGCAUAUUUCAGUUCCUUUUCUAUCACCGUAUUGUUCUAUUACUGACACUCCAAACUGAAUAUCCAACUCAGACAACUCAAGCACCUUCCAAGAAAGACAAACUUAUCACUACCCUCAUUAAUUUGGAAAAUGAAUAAAGAAGCAGAAGAUUCAAGGUCCAGAUCUGCAAUCUAAAAUGCAGGAAGAGAGGACUCAUUCAUGUGUCAUUUUAACAUCUGGCCCCAGUAAAUGAACAAAUAUUGAUGGUAUAGUAUAUUUACUAUUUUAAAAGACAUCAUGCUGGACACCAAAGCAGUACAGUGAAACCUAAGAACAAUGUUCUGACCUCGGUGGACUCACAAUCUAGCCAGAGACACAAGAUACAAUGAUAUUUUAAGUGAUGCAUGCAGCAAAUUCAUCUCAGGUGCAUCAUUAGAGAUACACUUCACAUCAUUAAAAGGUCUCUGUACGAGAGACACUGCUAAUUGUUCCCUAAGACUGCAAAUCUCCCCUUUUGCUAUGGAAACAGAAUUCAUCACUUUAGUGGGGCACAUUGCUGCCCAGGGUAAGGACAGCUCCCAGCCCCUCUUGCAAGUAGCUGUUACCAUAUAACAAGGUUAAGGUCACAGGGAUGUGGCCGUAGCAGAGAUGUGUGCAGAUUUCUAAAAGCGUACUUAAAGGGGAUAGAUGAGCUCUCUUCCUUCUUUGUUUUUUUUCUGACUGGACUUGGACAUGCAUGUGGCUGGGUCAGCCAGGUUGGACUGAAUGGCACAUGUUGUGGGGCAGAGAAGAACAAGAUAGAAGAGUCUGGGUUCCUGACAAGCAGGGUGGCUUGAUCAUCCAUGAGUUGCCUUUUUCCCCUGAACGCUGCAUUCCACAACUAUUGUUGGAAAUCAAAAUCUUUUUUUAAGAAUACUACAUAUUGCUCAUUUCUUAAAUGGUUUCAUUCUCUAAGGCUAAAAAGAGUCAUGGUACAUGCAUGCAUAUGUGUAUGUGCAUAAGUACACUCUCCUUUGUACUUUCUCUACAUUUAAACUUGAACACAGAGCUCCCUCUGAAUUUUUAACCCUCAAAACACAAAAAAAGCUGAAUAUGGACUUUGCCCCAGUUUUAUCACAUUUUAAUAAAUAAAAGCUUCAAUGUAUUCAGGAAUUCAUUAUUUAUUUGUUUCCCACACUCUCAACCCUAGAUUAUUAAUUUGGUUCACCUAAAGCCAACUCACCUCAAAUUGGUUAAAAAAAAUUAAGCACGUGUAAAUCAAUGUAUAGGGAAAGGGUGGCUGAUCCAGCAAAAUCCAAGUGUAAAAACAUAAAGAGAGGCUUCACAACAGUAAUGAGCCAUCUGCAAUUUAGAAUCAUCCAUGGUAACAAUCUCUCAUUCCAUUUGUUUAUGUUUUAUUCAUCAUUGUGAAAAUACUUAGUGAAGUGACGAUGAUGAGAUUCAAAAAUACUGCAUGGUUCUUUUUUUAAAAAGAGAUAUUAAUGGCUUUCAGGGGCUCAACUAUUCAAAUGAAAAUAUUGCUGGACUAAAUUUGCUCAAAUUUGUUCACUUCCUCUUCAUUCUUGGAUAUAAUAUAUUCUUCAUUUUAUGACAAAAAACUAUGUGGUGAAAACAUGAGAAAUUCCGUAGUUUCCAUCGUUUAUACAUUUAAAAAAUCAAUAGCAGAAACCUAUUUCAAAUGUACAAUCCUCAUUCCUAUCAUGACAGAGUAAACCAGGCUGCGGUGUCUUGGGUGAGCGUGUUGUCAUUCCCUAGUACUACAGUUAUUUAGCCUCAAACGUACUGUCUCUAGUUACAUAUACGGCAAAAACAAGGCUUGACCUUUAAGAAUGAAAAGAAAAAAAGAUAAGUACUGAGCUGUUAAGCCAACUUAAGGGUAUUCAUUACAAAGAAGACAGAAUAACUACUGAACAUACUCUUUGAUUCUAAUAUCUCUAUGAAGAAACCUCUCUCUACACAAAUUGAUAGACAUUUUAAAAGAAAAUUUAUUCAUCCCAAAUUGAUGCACUUAACUUCAGCUAGCUGAUUUUAUAUUUCUCAAUCUAGCUUAUAAAUACUACUCUUCAUUUACUUCAAUUUACGGAGUAUUUACAAAAGCCCUAUUUCAAAUCUGGUUCCUAUCAGCCCCGUUUUUUCUUAUUUCUUCUUAAAUAAGCAUACUUUGUAAAAUAUAGCCAUUUAUUCAUAUAUAUAUUUCUUUCAUUUGUUUUAGUAAAUGACAUUUAUUUAGGAACCAUUUUUUAAGAAAUAAGUUUUUACCAUCUCAAUUUGCACUGAACCAGCGUCUUCUGAGACCAUCCCUCUGGGUGCAAAUCUCAGAGUAAGCUCAGUUACUCCUAACGACUGGAAAAGGAAAGAACACAGGAACACUUGAACUCCUCUGACAAGCAGACACUUUGGCUAAGGCGGCAUUCACAUCUUCUACAUCAUCCUUCCUGGGGAAAGAAGCUCUCAGAAAAGUCCACACAUAGAAGAGCCACUUUAUGGUCUUCCCUCAAUUUUCUCAGAUCAGCCUGAUUUAGUCUAUGAUUGUGCAGACAAGGAGACGGAGCCAAGGGACAAAAGGAAGAUAAUUGUCACACAAAGAAAAUGCUCAAGACCUUGCCAAGGGAGAGACUGCUCUAAAUAAUAACAAGGCUAUUAGCAAACACAGGUUGAGACAGGGAACAGAAAAAGAAAAGAUGUCACAUGUGAAUAUGAAAACAAAAGCUGACAAGUAAUUCCAUUCGGUUUGCCAAGGCACCUGCCAAAAAUGUCCCCAAGGAAAAGGGCCAUGUGCUCCAUGACGCUCUUCACAGUGACGUUCACAUAAGGCACAGAACAUUCUGCCUGGCCACAAAACACAACAAAUAUCAUCAAUAUCUUGCCGGGGAACAGUUGUGCACUACCUACCAUAGGCAGUCUCCUGGUGCUCCACUUCUCUUCUCAGUCUGUUGUAAUCUUCUUUAACACUUCCCAGCUUUUUGACAUUCCUGGAACUCAACACCAACAGCUUGCUGAGGAGUCCCUCCAGCCCUUCUCUCUCUGAUGUUAAUGAUCUAAUCUCCUCGGUGAGGUCUUUAGCCGUCCAGAAAUGGUUUCCUACAGCACGUUGUGGGAGAGAAGAAGGGAAAACAAGCUUUACAGCAUCCACACACAUGGAAGAUCUAGCAGCAGCUAAUGUACAUUCACAGCAUGGGCAAAGAAACUGCACUUUGAGAUUAUGUACAAUUUCCUUAGCAGUCCUCUGGGGAAAGAACCUGGAAAAAUAUUGCUCUCCUUAAACUGGAAAAAUCACCGUCUUUUUUAUCACCUUAUUCUUGUUAUGUCCAUUUUAGGAGUUCCAUUGGUGAAGCCAUCUCCCGUAAAGUAUGAUGACCCAAAAAUGUCCCAGUGGAAUCCAGAGAAACCACAAUGUGUCACUCCAUUCCAAUAAUAUACAAAUGUCAAAGAGAUGACAUAUUAUAGCAGUGUGGAAGGGGACUGGGCCAUAUAAUCAGAGUUGACCUAAAUUAAAUUCCUCCCCUGUUACUCAAACUGUGUGACCUGGAGCAAGAAAAUUAGCACAUCUGGGGCAAAUUUCUUAUAAAAUAUAAUUGCAAUAACACCUGACUCAUAGGUAGUUACAAGAAUAAACAAGAAAUUCUGUAAAGCACUGAGAAAAAUAUAUGAUAAAUUAAAUGUAGCAAGAUUGCAGGAUACAAGGUCAAUGUACAAACAUCAAUCUUAUGUCUAAAUAACAAAAAACUAGAAGAUGAUUUUUUAAAAAAUACAAUUUACAAAAUAUUUUAAAUCUCAUAAUACUGAGGGAUACUUUCUUUAAAUAUGUGCAAGAGCUCUACAGUGAAAACUAUUUUUCAAAAACUGCUGAGACAAAUUAAAGACAAAUAAUUUAAAAGAUACACUGUAUACAUACACUGGAAGUUCAAUAUUGGUAAGAUUUCAAUUUUCCCCACAUUGAUUCAUUGAUUUAAUAUAAUUCCAAUCAAAAUGUUAUGAGGUUCUUUUGUAGAAAUUUAUGUGCUUAUUCUAAAACGUCUAAGAGUGAGCUGGGCAUGGUGGCUCACACCUGUAAUCCCAGCAUUUUGGGAGGCCGAGGUGGUGGGUCCCUUGAGGUCAGGUGUUCAAGACCAGCCUGGCCAACAUGGCGAAACCCUAUCUCUACUAAAAAUAUAAAAAUUAAUCUGGCACAGUGGUAAGCACCUGUAAUCCCAGCUACUCAAGAGGCUGAGGCAGGAGAAUCACUUAAACCCAGGAGGUGUAGGUUGCAGCGAGCUGAGAUCCUGCCACUGCACUCCAGCUUGAGCAACAGAGUGAGACUUCAUAUCUAAACAAAUAAAAUCUAGAAGAAUGAGCCCAUGAGUUUGAGGCUGUAGUGCACUAUGAUUGCACUUUUGAACAGGCACUACACUCUUGUCUGGGCAACAUAGCAAGUCCCCACCUCAAAGAAGGAGAGGGAGAAAGAAGAAGAAGGAGGAGGAGGAGGUGAAAGAGGGAGGGAGGGAAGGAAGGAGAAGACGAAGAAGAAUGAAGAAGAAUAGGAAGAAAGAAGAAGAAGGAAGAGGAGGAGGAGGAUGACCAAAGCAAUCCUUAAAAAGUGAGUCUUGGUUUCAAGACUAAUGCUAAAGCCACUAUAAAUCAAGGUAAUAUGGCAUUGAAUAUACAUAGACAAACAGAUCGAUGGAAUAGAAUAAACAGUCCAGGAGUGGAUUAACACAUAUACAGCCAACCAAAGUGCCAAAGCAAGUCAAUGAGGAAAAGAAAGUAUUUUCAAUAAAUGGUGCUGGAACAACUAGCUAUCUACAUGGAAAAAAUAUUAACCUUGAUUCAUACCUCAAACCACACAAAAAUUUAAUUAAAGGUGGAUCACAGGCCUACAUGUAAAAGUUAAAACUAUAAAGCUUCUACAAAAAAAAAAUGAAUAUUUGAUUGACUUUGGAGUAGGCAAGAACUUCAGAUAAGAUACAGAAAACACUAUUUUAAAAAGGAUAAAUGGGCUUUAUCAAAAUUAAAAACUUCUCAUCAAAAGACACAACUAAAAAAUGAGACGACAAGUCACAGACUUGGAGAAAAUCAUUGCAUUAUGUUUAACUGACAAGGAAUUGAAUACUACAACUUGACAAUUAAAACACAAAUGGUGCCAUUGAAAAAUGGUCAAAUGACUUAACAGGCAUUUUACAAAGUAGACGCACAAAUGGCUAAUAAGCAUAUGAAAAAACAUUUGACAUCAUUAAUCAUUAAGAAAAGAAAAAUUAAAACCAUAAAUAUUCCACUACAAGCCCACUCAAAUGUUUCAAAUUAACUCAACUAAAAAUGUCAACAUUCACAAGGGUAUGGAGCAACUGGAACUCUCACGCAUGUAAAAUGGUCCCUUCAAGAAAAGUUCUGCCAGUUUCUCAUAAAGUUCAAUGUAUACCUACCCUUUAAUCCAACAAUUCUACUUCCAGGCAUUUACACAAAAGAAAUGAAAACAUGUCAUCAAAAAUAUUUGCACUCAAAUAAAUGGUCACAGUGUCUUAUGCCUGAGAGCCAGCCCCAUACUGGAAGCAACCUAAAUAUCCAUCAGCAGGAAGAUGCAAAAAUAAUACUAUAGCUAUGCAAUGAAAGACUACUCAGCAAUAAAAAGAAACAAACUCGUCAUACAUGCAGCAACAUGUAUGUGUCUUUUUCUUUCUUUCUUUUUUUUUUUUUUGAGACAGAGUUUUGUUCUUGUUGCCCAGGCUGGAGUGCAGUGGUACGAUCUCAGCUCACUGCAACCUCCACCUUCCAGUUUGAAACUAUUCUCCUGCCUCAGCCUCCCAAGUAGCUAGGAUUACAAGUGCCCACCACCACGCCCAGUUAAUUUUUGUAUUUUUUAGUAGAGCCGGGGUUUCACCAUGUUGGCCAGACUGUUCUCAAACUCCUGACCUCGUGAUCCACCCACCUCAGCCUUCCAAAGUGCUGGGAUUACAGGCGUGAGCCACCGCGCCCAGCCAACAUGUACAUGUCUUUAGAAAAGAUGCAAAAGAGUAGUGCCACAUGAUUCCAUUAAGUUCUAGAACAGCCAAAAUUAAUCCAUGGUAGAAGAUAUCAGAACAGAGGAGGGACGAUGAUGACUGGGACAAGAUAGGGUGUUGUUUCUUGAGUGAUGAGACUGUUCUAUCUCUUGGUAGGGCUGUUCGUAACACAGGUGUCAAAAUUCAAGAACUGUAAACACUUAAGACCUGUGCAUUCCACUGAAUAUAAACCAUACCUCAAUUAAAAAGAGGAAAAAUUAAGAAAUUUUUAAGCAUGAACAUUGAACAAUAAAUAAAUAUAUAACAUUAAUGAGUGUCCCAUAAAUUAGUUAGUGUUAAUUAGAAAACCCCACUGUGUUUUCUCAGAAUUUAUAGUAACCAUAAUCACAAUAAUAGCUACAAACUUUCUCACCUUUAAAUGUCAUCACAACUUUAGGAAACAGGUUAUAUCUUAUAUUAUUAUUAUUAUUAUUAUUAUUAUUAUUAUUAUUAUUAUUUUACAUUUUAACAUCUCUGAAACAGGGAUGUGUCCUACAAUCACCAUCAGCCAGGAAGUGGUCAGGAUGCAGUGGUUAUAACUGGAUUAUUUUCCCUGGCCUGGCUGACCAUCUGCAACCCCCUGGUGUUUCAAUGUACAAACUAUUUUAGGACCAUCUGCGUACUGGCUGUUGCCUGAAAAUCUUGUGUUGAUGUGGAUUUGUAAGACUGGGAAAGCACCAGCAUUCAAAACUUGAAGAAAGGUGUUAGCAGUUUGGCAGACAAUCCUACAGAAAACUCUUUAUUCUUGGGGGAGAAAAAGUUGCCUCCCAUCAACUUCAAUGGUUCACAGGAUGAUGACGUGUGGGGAAACACAAACCUCGACAACAUUGAGUCCAAAUGUGUUUCGGAAGACUCAGAAUGAAGAAGAAGAUGCCAAGGAAAACCUUAACCAAUUUAUUUUCCUUUUUAAUGAGUGAUAUGUGAUUUUUCAAAAGCCUAAAUACAUCUAAAAGAGCUAUAUCAGUUAAGUAUAAGAUAAAAAUUCUAAACCAUAGAAAGCACUGUUACUGCUUAAUUGACAGCAAUUUUUCUUUCUUUGCAAUGUAUAAAAUAAUGGGUGCUUUUUAUGUUCACUGAAAUUCAUAUUGUUGUCUCCUUUUACAGCUGGGAAAGCGGAAAUCUGGAGAACUAAAAUAUCUUGCUGAAGAUCACAAUGCAGUAAAGCAUAGGGCAAGUUUCCAACUCGAACAUCACCCCAGAACACUUCCUUUUAAACAUAAAUUAUGUUGCUAACUUUUUUAUUGUUACUUAGCAGGCAGAUUUCAAACUGAUACAAAUGUUGAAAAUGAUACAAAAUGUUUUCCCACCUUAAAGGCAUUCUGAAACCUAGCACAUAACAUCUGUCACUGAAGUCCAUAGUUUCCAAUGCCAUGAUUGGAUAAAGACCCUAUUGAGACUCAUGUGUUUGUCUCUCACUGCUUAAAACACUCAUGUGUUUUAAGCAACAUGACAAGCACAAAAGAGAACAAGUACUGCUCCUGCUCUCCAGGAAGUUACCAUAAAAUAAAGGGGAUAAGGUGCCUUCCAAAGAAAAAACAAAUACUAGGAGAGGUCAGAGGAGAAGAGAGAUUAUUCCAGAAGGAGAGACUGAGGCAGAUUUCAGGAGGGAAGAAUAUAAGAGUCCCAAAAGAAGAAACAGGAACCCAGGUUAGAGAGCAAUGGGCAAGGGGUAGGAGGUGAGACUAAACUCACAAGGAAGUUGCUUCAAAACAAUAGUGCCCCAAAUGCCAAGCUGAUGGGUUGGACCCAUUUAGGAAAAACCCACAAAGUCCACAGGAGAGCAGACUGCACUUCCAUGAGCUUCAAGCUGUAAACAGUAACCUCAAAUAAAACUUUUCCCGGAUCGGUAAUUUCCAUCCUGAACAAUGGCCAAGUCAAGGAAGCUGAGGAUCGAGCCCCCUACCGCAUGCCACAAAGAACCUCAAGGGACCCCAUGCUCUGGGGAGCUCGCAGGAGGACCAGCACAGAGGUGUGACUGCGUUGGGGCAGGGUGGCCACAUGUACAAUGUUGUACCUUCCAAUGUUCCUCCUUAGGCUGUGCUUAUGAAGUCCCAACAUGUCUUCUGGGCUGUGUUUUCAACCAAGAGAGUUAAUAAAAAGUGGGAUGGGCACCAACUAUGCCUCCAGAGACAUCAGGCAGAAUAUGCCACAGCGUGCCAUGUCCUCCUGCAAACAGUCAGAAAGAAAAGAUCUCUAAAAGCAGAUUGGAAGAGACUAUAUAUACAGAGCGAGUGCCGGUACAGAAGUUUUGCUGCAAAUACACCCUCUAAUCCCUUGCAACCCACUGCAAGCUCGAGAGACCAGUGCCCUUGGUAAAACAUAGGAGAGAUCAUUAAUUAAAGCCUAGGCCCUUUCUUUGAUCCUGAGGGAUAAGGCUUGGGAAAAUGCACAGUGAUAAAAGUGAACAUUUUAAAAGAGCAGAGUGAGUGUGAAUUCCCAAAGAGACCAUUCAUAUCAAGACCCAAGCCAUGAGAAAAUGCUACAAUGCCCUUGAUCAAUACUUUAUAGGCAUUUUGACCUCAGAUCUAAUCCCAUGAGGCUUAGACCAAGACCUUGCUUGAUGCAGACCUCUCUGACUGCUGAAAUUGGUCAGGAGCUCAGUGAUGAAAAUUUGGAAAGUCAAUGCUGAUACCUGAAGAAAGUCCCAUCAGAGAUCUGUGACCUGAAUCUUCAUAACUUUCACAGGCCCUUUCUAAAUGCCAAGGAGGAUGUGUGUGGAGAAGAAUAUGCCACCUAUGGCAUCCCAAUAUGCCUGUGCCCGCCUGCUCUUCAACAAGGGAAUGAAACCUGGGUAUUCUCAUAGGUUUUUUAAAGCACUUGUCCACAUAUUUUAUUCCGCAAAUAACACAAUUUAAAAUUCAGCUAGAAUUUGCCAUUUUCUGUCAGGGUUGUGCAUUUCUUCCAGUCACCAUGACUUCCUGAGAUAGCCAAAACACAAAAUUUAAAUUGUGUUUAAAUUAAAUAAACACAAUUUAUGCUGAAGCUGACUUUACCCACUCUGUUCCAACAUUACUUAUCCUCAGCAUCUCUGAAUUCAAAUAUCAGCCAGGUGUGGUGGCUCAUACCUGUAAGCCCAGCACUUUGGCAAGCCAAGAUGGGAAGGUUGCUUGAGGAGUUGGAGACCAGCCUGGGCAACAUAGCAAGACCCCCAUCUCUACAAAAAAAUUAAAAAAUUAGCCAGGCAUGGUGGUAUGCACCUUUAGUCCUAGCUACUUGGGAGGCUGAGGUGAGAAGAUCACUUGAGCCCAGGAGCUUGAGGUGGCAGUGAGUCAUGAUCAUACCACUGCACUGUAGCCUGAGCAACAGAGCAAGACCCCAUCCCUUAAAAAAAAUACCUGCCCUCUGUACUUCAUAGCACCUGGGGCAUUUUGAACAGUUCUUCCUUCACCUGAGGUCAUUAUUUGAGAAUCCAAUUUUAGAGACUACAAUGCUCUCAUUACUUGGAUUGUAUCAUUUAAUCUUCCCAACAAUCCAGGAAGGGGAGUCUCUUAAUGAUUGUCCUUGAUUUCCAGUUAAAAAAUCUAGACCCAGAGGUAACCUUGUGAAGGUCACAGAGUUUCAGAGUUCUAAGAUCCCAUGCGAGAUUGCUGAACUUGAACUUGUUUCUUCUGAUCUCAUGUCAAUAAGUGACUUAGUCAACACCUGGGUAGAAAUCAUCACUAAAGUGAGAAAGCACAUGGUGAGGGGGAUGAAUCCUGUGCCCACAUGGUCCCUUUCACCUGCCCAAUCCUCAGGCCUCUCACCUGGGGUACCCCUCACACACAUGGCACUUUCCUGAACUCAUGGACAUUUCAGUUUGUAACGAUCCUCCUAAGAUUAUCUACUUUCACCUAUCCACAUUUGAACUAUACUUCUUUAGUGGAAAAAAAGAAAUAAAGCCAGUGCUGAGAAUGAUCAAACUCCAGAAAUAGUAGACUGCUGUAUAAUUUGUCUUGCGUGACACCAGAUCUUUCAAGGAACUGCAAGCUCAAGUGCACAGUUAAGCAAGAUCAAGAUCUACCUUUGUCUUUCAGAGCCUUCCCUUGGCGAGGUCAAGGAUAUCUGCUGUGAGCCUGGGCUGGCUGAACCAAAGGGCAAUGGAGGCGGCCAAGAAGCCCCAGCCAACUGCUCCCCUCCCCAACCCCCUUCUCCCUGGAGGUCCCUUCAGCUAGAAUUUGCCAUUUUCUGUCAGGGUUGUGCAUUUCUUCCAGUCACCAUGACUUCCUGAGAUAGCCAAAAGCAUUUGCUGUGAGCAGAGCCCCAUGGCUGGCUUUGCACAUCAAACAUUUCAGACAGCCAUAUAUUUCAUAGAAUACAAGGGGAAGAUAACACUGGACACACAGAACUUUCCAACAGCUUGAGAAAAUGUGGUGCCUGGUGACUGACUAAAUAUACAAUCGGACAACAGCCAGGCCAUAGCAAAAGAUGGAACUCUGAUCCACAAGGUGCAGCAACUUUCCCAGAAAACAAUACCCUUACCCACAAAAAGCAACCCCGGAAGCUGGCCUGCUCUAAAUCAGACCUGCUGGAAGCCAAAUUGCUCUCUAGUAACUAUCCAGGAAGCUAAAUAAUAACUUCUGUAACAAUUGACUCAAAAUGUUCAGGACUGGAUUAAUAACUGAUGGCUUCCCUAAUUUUUGUCCCCGAUUCCAACUUAGGACCCACCAGAGAAAGCCAAAUAUGGUCCCCUGACCAAGCACACAGGAUGUUCGCUUCUAGUGAGCCGCCUCCAGCUUCCCCGCAUUGAUAACCUCCAAUCAGGGCACACCUGAAGCCUUCGCCUUUUUCCACUAUAAAGCUCUCCCACUCGUCUGCCCACCUUUGAGUCUCUGCCAAAUUGCAAAUGAUGGUGUCUGACUCCCUUGCUGUAGCAAGCUCUGCAUAAUAGCUUGUGCUUAUUCUCUUUGGGUAGGUCUUCAUUUCUUUUCACACCAGAUAGGCAUCAUCUUUGAAAACAUCUUUACUGGGUCUCUUGUCUCCCUCCUGCAGCCACUGAUCUAAAUCACAGACUUUUUUAGAAAGAGGGAAAAUAGUAAAGAAAGAAAGCGAUUGAGUUGAUGCUCCCAGCCACUGUCUGUACCCUGAAUUUUGUUUUUCUGCCAUAUGUCAGGUGGCCUCUCCUGGACCAUCGUCACUGUUUCUCCUGCUUCCCUGCAGCUGCAGACACAGGAGCACUGUGUAGGUCUGGCCUUGAGCACCCACCCACCCAGUACAGAGCCAGCCCCUGCUGUUCUGAAUCAGUGCAGUGACCACUUAGAACACAGUGCCCAUGCCUCUGUGAUCUGAACUGCUCUUUCCAGUUCCAUACAAUGUUAAGAACCCACUUAAGAAUGUUUUAAUCAUUCAGUAGUUUUUCGUGGUAUAUAAUAAAAAAGUGAUUUAAAUACAAUCUAUUUUAUUUUAGAUUAUAUCAUUAGGGGUUAUUUUACAAAGUUACCUUUAAAUACUAUUGUAAAUAAAAUUAAUAACAAAUAA